GUCCUAUAAGCCCAACUCACCUUUUAGAUGCCUGACCACCAACAGUCGUGUCAGAGAGAAGAGAGGGAGCUCCAAAGAUUCAAAGACUGCAGGACAGCUCCAUACUCACUCAGCCACAGCAACAGACAUGAAACAGACAUCAUGGGGCAUUUGUUUUCCCACAGAUAUUAAUCUCCAGACCCAAUCAUAUGGGCUGUAAGAUGAGCCCUAGCCUGGUAAAAUUGAACAGGCCAGGCGUCACAUGCAGGGUGUUCCAGGUUUGAAUCCAGGACACAACAUACUAGAAAGUGAAAAAACCAUUAAAACAUAUAACAACAAUUCCAAUGCAGACACAGACUGGGAAACAUCUCUAUUUAAAAGGCUUGUUUUAAAAUAUCAGUAGGCACCGAAAGACAACAAAGACAGCACCUGUUUAAUAUUUAAUGGAAGGAAAUUCCACAAGACAAAGAAAUUUGAAGAGGAGCAGCAAAUUGGAUGAAAUAAAAAACUACAAACGUGACUUUUGGUUCCAGUGGAAUUUCACUAGGCAAGAAGUGCUUAUAUUUCUACAAGAAUUUGCAAGAGGAGGCAGUACUCAUCACAGAAGUGCUUAUUAAUUGCUUGAUCGUGUUAAUUGCAUAUUGAAUGUUUCUGCACUACAUCUGGUUGAAUGCCAUGCAAGUCACAUAAAUUAAAAUCCCUUGCUACAUCCACCAGCUUUACAGGCAAGCCUCACCACCACCACCCCGUGCCUCUUUCUUAAGAUCACAGCGAUGGGUUUGCUUCCUGAACCUGCUACUGUACUCUGAGGCAGGGAGGACUCUGAAAGGAAGGAAAGAAGGAUUAAGCACCUCCCAGACCCACAAAGUCAACCCUCUCCACCUUGCUGUAAUUAGCCAUGAUGGGCAAAGACCAAGAACACAAGUGGUCAGAUGAAAGCCUUCAAGCAUCUUGUCUACAUCCUCAGGCUAUAAGAACUGAAAUUGAUCCCAUAUGACCAGACCAGAUGACGUUCUGUAUAUCUCCUUAGAAACUGUUCCAAGAGUCAUGUCAAGAUCAGAGAUAAUAUGGGUAACUUUGCCUUCAAAGCAUCAUGCAAACUUGUUACAGCAGUCCUCUGUGGAUAUUAUACAUCCCUUCAGAUUUACUUUCAUAUUUAUUUAUUUAUUUUGAAUAGAAUAGUGUUUAUUGCAUUAGUCAGUAGACCAUGGCAAAAUAAAGCAAGGUACCCAAAGUUAUAAGACAAAUAAACUACUAAAUCUA